AACUUUUUUCGGCCUUUUGGCUAAGAUAAAGUGUAAUAUUUUUUAUCAGUUUAAUAUAUGAUAUGUGGACCAUAUGUAUGAUUUUACAUUAAAUUCAUUUUUUAUGAGUUUCAAAUAUGGUUGCAUGCCAUCGCAACACUGUCAUUGUAAUGGUAGGAAUU
rnacentral:snRNA from 1 species